UUGACGCUGAGGUUGGUACUUGUACCACUGGAUGAGCAGCGAACGGGUGAGUAACGCGUGGGGAAUCUGCCUUUGAGCGGGGGACAACAUUUGGAAACGAAUGCUAAUACCGCAUAAAAACUUUAAACACAAGUUUUAAGUUUGAAAGAUGCAAUUGCAUCACUCAAAGAUGAUCCCGCGUUGUAUUAGCUAGUUGGUGAGGUAAAGGCUCACCAAGGCGAUGAUACAUAGCCGACCUGAGAGGGUGAUCGGCCACAUUGGGACUGAGACACGGCCCAAACUCCUACGGGAGGCAGCAGUAGGGAAUCUUCGGCAAUGGACGAAAGUCUGACCGAGCAACGCCGCGUGAGUGAAGAAGGUUUUCGGAUCGUAAAACUCUGUUGGUAGAGAAGAACGUUGGUGAGAGUGGAAAGCUCAUCAAGUGACGGUAACUACCCAGAAAGGGACGGCUAACUACGUGCCAGCAGCCGCGGUAAUACGUAGGUCCCGAGCGUUGUCCGGAUUUAUUGGGCGUAAAGCGAGCCCAGGUGGUUUAUUAAGUCGGGUGUAAAAGGCAGUGGCUCANCCNUUGUAUGCAUUGGAAACU
rnacentral:rRNA from 1 species